rnacentral:tRNA from 1 species
AUGUUUUUAGUCCUUGAGGGCAUUAGCUUUGAAGGGGCUAAAGGCUUAUAACAUU